AAUUCUCCAAUUUUUUUCAUAGUUUUCCCUUAUUAUUAUGCAGAAAUGUUCUUUUUGAUGCAGUUUGUUUUCAAGACUGGAUAUACUUCACUCCACUUGCUGUUUCUUUUAUUGUUAGGGCACUGUUUUUUUUUCCCUUUUUAUGGGCUUUUUUUCGUUUGGGUUUUUAUUGGUUUGGAAUUUGAAUCUGGUUAUUGAAGCUUGUGUUCAAUUCACUAUUAUAUUAAAACUGCAUGGAUAAAACUGAUUUAGUACAUUUUUCAUGCAGGUUAUCAUAUUAAGGUUAUAGAUCCUUGCAAAAGAAUUUCUUUACUUCUUAUGGAUAAUUAAUCAGUUCUAGGGUUUUCAAUAUAGUUCCUGAGUUGUAUUUAGGGUGAAAAUAUGGCAGGUUUAGUAGUUUGGGUUAUAGGAUAGAGGAGAAGAAAAGAAAAAGAAUUGUAUAGAACUGCAUGUUGAAAAAGGAAAAUACUUUUGGGAAACGGAUGGGUAAAUAAGGCAUGUGAAAUAAGGAAUAUGUUUUAUAGAUCUCAAAUGAUGUGUCUUGGUUGGGAUAUGAAGCUGGUUUUCUUUAUUUUCAAACAAAUGAAGAGUGUGUUUUAAGUCUUUGUUUGUCAAUUCUUGUUUAUGAUUUCUUAGGUGGUUAAGAUUUUCUUGAAUUUUUCAACUGAUUUAAGGUUUCUUUUCUUUCUUUGCUCUUGUUUCUUAGCUUUUUAUGCUUGGAGGGUUCUGAAGUUUAUUGGUGUUUUGACUUCUUGCUGAUUUGUUACUGGUUCAAGUGAUUUUGUUUAAACAACCUGUGAUAUAUUUUUCUGAGUUGCUAAAUUCUGCAUGAGAGAGACUCUAACUUUUGUUGUUUUUGAAAUAUAGGAUAACAAGUGCUAUAUUCACACAUAUGUAAGUCUAUAAUUGUUUAGUGAAGGUGCAGUUGAUUGGUUUUUCUUUUUAUGUUUGGAUCAGGUGGGGAAAGCCCAAAAUUGAGUUGCUUGAGUACAAAAUUCCUGGUUAACUAAUGCUUUUCAACUCGAGCUUUUUCAAUUUUAUGUUUGUUGUUGCACUUGAUUACUACUGACUUUUAUUUUAUUUUGUUUUUUUGUUUUUUUCUCUUGGUUAUUUUGUUUUGCUGUUAAUUACACUUUUCUUUUUUCUGAAAAAUUAUAAUUUAUGCUAUGGUUCUAGGAUUUCUUCUUUUGCAUUAUGAGUAACGCCUUCAUGACUUUUAUCCUUGGAAAAUCUCUUUAUGGUCUAUGUCCUUAUUUCUGUAAGCACUUUAAUCAUUUGAUACUGAGCAAAGGAUUAGUAUGCAGGCUAGUUUAUACAUGUGCAAGAUGUUUCAUCAAUUUUUCUAUUUAUGAAAUCUGGAAGGCAUUUAUGUAGAGGUUUUUGGUUUUUCUAUUUAGUGAAAUUGCCUUUUGGUUUACUAAUGGUUUCUAAUUGGAGACUGCUGGUUACUAAUGUUAUAAUGGUGUUACUGUUACUGUUUCAGGUAGUCUUGCAAGAUUCCAGGAAAUGAAUUUUUAGGAACUCUUUGUUUCUAGUUCCAUUGGAGACUAACAUUGUGCACGUAUUUUGAAUACUUCAAACUUUAACAUCAUUUGUUGACAACGAGAGAGAGCACGCUUGUUAGCCUUCAUGUAAGGAACAUGGUUGCACACCAGCGUGCUCCCUAUCGUUGUCAAUGAGAUAGAGAGAGCAUGCUGCUUAACAUUCCUGUGAGGGACAUGGCUGUCUACCAGCGCGCUCUCUAUUGUUGUCAUAAGAUGCGCUCGAAGCAAGUUCCAUUCGCUUUUUACAUGAUUAUUUGCCAAGUGGUAAGCAGGUGAUGUACUUAUAGUGCAAUUGGAGUUUGAAAUUGAUGAUUACACUUAUUUAUUAUGGAACAUGCACAACCCAAGAUCACAUUAUAUUUUGGUAAUUGAGAUGUGUAGCUCAAAGCCAACUUCAAGCAUUAUGCUAUUGACCUUUUACUUAUCCUGUGGUUCAAAAGCUGUUGGAGCAGCUCUUUCCUAGCUAAUACUAAAUUCAUGUUUUAGAAAUAAAUCUUUUGGGAUUUCCGACAUACAGUAGUCUACUUUUUAGGAAUAAAUCUUUUUGCCCUAAUUUUUCAUCCUGUUUCUUUCUUUGUUUUUGCAUUGUGUUCCUCUUUCAUUUUAUAUGUUUUUGCAUUAUUUUCGUCUAAUUAAAACUUUGUAUAGGUAUUCUUUUUAAAGAAAGUGAAGGCUUUAUUUGUGGAUGUGUCGGAUAGCUAUUCCAAUCAAUCACUUAAACAAGCAAAAACUUUGAAUUAUUCCAUAGCAUUUACAACUUCAAUUAUUUUAUAAAGACAGUAUAGUAGUAACAUUACUUAUUGUUCAGCUUUAGAGAUUUUAAUAUUUAUUAGUUUAAUACCUCUGCAGAUUAGGUUUUAAUUUAGCACAAUUAGGCUUCUAAAUAUUGCCCUUAGAUUUAGGGAGUUUUACUUGCUGAAAAUUCAUGAUUUCUUUUCCACCAUCAUUUUGUGUAUUUAAGGAUUUGUCAUAAGGUAAUUAGAAUGACUUAAAUAUGUAAGUACUUCAUUUUGCAUUUACAUGGGAAAUUUGAUAUUCAAGGACUUUAAAAUGCCCUAGAAGUGCCUAGAAUAAGAUGUCCUGAUGCACCAAUCGCACUUGCGGAAGAAAUGUUUUUAUGCUUUUAAAGGAUUUUAUUUUCUCUCCACCGUGCUUCAAAUAUGAAAGAAUCUAUUUCAUCAUUCAAAUUGUUUUUGUAUAUGUUGCCUAUUCUUUUACUAGUUGUGCAUUUGGGAUAUUUUUCUGAUACUCUCUUGUUUUAGUAUUUCUGCUAUUAUUGUCAAGUUAAACAUCUUUUCUUCUUGUGCACCAGGAUCACAAUUAAUUUAUUGGCUAGGCGUUUACACUUGAUUUGAUUGACCUGAGCUGUGAUAUUGUUUUAGUUUAACUUGCUUGUAUCAUCAGCACUAUCCUAUCAGGUGUGCUGGGACUAGUUACCACUUCUUUAAAAAUAAAUGCGUCACUGAUUAUAUCUGUACCUAGAUCGAAGCAAAGAUAGGAAUAAGUUUUCCCUUGUUGGGUGAAUGAGCUCAAUGAAGUCAUAUUCUUUGCUUCGUUCAAUUAUUUUAUCUGUUUUAUAUGUUAUAUUACCAACUUAAAAAGCAUCAGAUUUUGCUUACUAUUGUAGAGUGUUUUUACCGCUUUGGUGGCAUGAGAGUGGCAUUAAAACCAUUUUCAUCUACUGCAUCAUUUGGCCAAGACUAGAAAGAAACUUUUAUUUUUCAUCGUAAUCGACUUGCCAAGGAGUUUCCUCGGAUCACACCGUAAAGAAAGUUGCCUGAUGUCUUGGCAAGUGGCUUCAAAUUCUAAAUUCUUUUGCUGGUUAUAUGAGCAAGGAACCCUAUCCUUCUUUUUCUAACCUGCAGAAGGACCUUUUUGACAACAUUCUUGAGAUUGAAUAGACUGAAGAUGGAAUUACUGAUGAUUUCAUUCAGUUUAAUACCCUUUCAUUAGUUUUCUCUACUUCUGUAGUAGCUUUGUGAAUAGGAUUCUUGUGAACAGACCCCAAGAAAAGCACUUGACAUCUGUAAAUUGAACAUUUUAAGUUUAUUAUGUUCUUACUAUUCGAUUAGUUUGACAAUUUAUAGGGUUGUCCACAAAUUGUUUACCCCAUCAUCAUGAUCUUGCUUUAUGCCUAACUGAGAUGUAUUGCAUAUAGUUUAGUAGUGGUGAUGUAUAAAACUUUUGAAGUUAAUUUAUGAUUCAUCACCUUUUAGCUAAUAUAUACCUAAAUAAUUUAUUUUA